rnacentral:rRNA from 1 species
AUUCUUCUCCAAGGGUUCCACCUUGGGGAGCAUGCCGAAGACAAUAUAGAUUGGAAGCAUGCGAAGAACAAUCAACCCUCCACGGCCACCGCUUACUUGGCACAAUUCAUGGGCACUAUCUACUCCCUGAUGCCACACACGGUGUGGAAGGCUUGGGCUCCCCCUAAAAACGUCAAAUUCUUCUCAUGGUUGGUGAUUCAAGAAAGAAUUUGGACCGCCGAUAGGUUGGCAAAGUAG